rnacentral:rRNA from 1 species
GACGAACGCUGGCGGCGUGCUUAACACAUGCAAGUCGAACGGCAAGGCCCUGCUUGUGUGGGGUGCUCGAGUGGCGAACGGGUGAGUAACAGGUGAGUAACCUGCCCUUGACUUUGGGAUAACUUCAGGAAACUGGGCCUAAUCCCGGAUAGGAGCUCCUGCUGCAUGGUGGGGGGUGGAACGUUUCGGCGGGUGGGGAUGGACUCGCGGCUUAUCAGCUUGUUGGUGGGGUAGUGGCUUACCCAGGCUUUGACGGGUCGCCGGCCUGAGAGGGUGACCGGCCACAUUGGGACUGAGAUACGGCCCAGACUCCUACGUGAGGCAGCAGUGGGGAAUAUUGCACAAUGGGCGGAAGCCUGAUGCAGCAACGCCGCGUGCGGGAUGACGGCCUUCGGGUUGUAAACCGCUUUCGCCUGUGACGAAGCGUGAGUGACGGUAAUGGGUAAAGAAGCACCGGCUAACUACGUG